AUGCGCCGUUGUUGACCACCGGGAGUAUGGCGGCUUCUUCGAGUGUGGAGAAGGAGAAGGACCGACUGGGAGGCGUCUCGGGAUCGGCGAGCGGCAACAGCACGCGAGAGCGGCUGUUGUCGGCGCUUGAGGACCUGGAGGUCCUGUCUAGGGAACUUAUAGAAAUGCUGGCAAUUUCAAGAAACCAAAAGUUGUUACAGCCCGGAGAGGAAAACCAGGUCCUGGAGCUGUUAAUUCACCGAGAUGGGGAAUUUCAAGAACUAAUGAAAUUGGCCCUUAAUCAGGGAAAAAUUCAUCAUGAAAUGCAAGUUUUAGAAAAAGAAGUAGAGAAGAGAGACAGUGAUAUUCAGCAGCUACAGAAACAACUGAAGGAAGCAGAACAAAUACUGGCAACAGCUGUUUACCAAGCAAAAGAGAAACUCAAGUCAAUAGAAAAAGCAAGAAAAGGUGCUAUCUCUUCUGAAGAAAUAAUUAAAUACGCACAUAGGAUUAGUGCAAGCAAUGCUGUGUGUGCCCCACUGACUUGGGUUCCAGGAGACCCACGAAGACCAUACCCAACUGACUUAGAGAUGAGAAGUGGGUUGUUGGGUCAGAUGAACAACCCUUCCACUAAUGGCGUGAAUGGACAUCUACCCGGGGAUGCACUCGCAGCAGGCAGGCUGCCAGAUGUCCUUGCUCCGCAGUAUCCAUGGCAGUCAAAUGACAUGUCAGUGAACAUGUUACCACCAAAUCACAGCAAUGACUUCUUGCUGGAACCUCCUGGGCACAAUAAAGAAAAUGAAGAUGAUGUGGAGGUUAUGUCAACAGACUCCUCAAGCAGCAGCAGUGACUCUGACUAGAAGCACCUGUGAGGCAGCACCCAGCACUGAAUACCAUAGAAUUUUGUUAAAACAGUAGUGGGGAAAUAUAAGCUGCUCUCUUCUGAGGAGCAGCCACAUAAAUACUGGCCAUGGUGGAAUUGUGCAGCCCAUUAAAAAUCAAAGUGGAUUUUCUUUUACAGCCAGAAAAAAUCGUUUUAGCUCUUAAUCUGCGAGGCAAAUGUUUGGGGAUUAGUUAAAAUGUACUGUUCAAUAGUUCAGUGCUGCCCCAUGCUGCCCUGUCCCAGCUGUGCUGGAUUUGUGCAUAGUAGUUCUGGAAAUAGAUGUGAAGGAACUGACCUGUGUACUUGUCAUCAGCAGGCUUCUGGGAAUUAUUUUUUAAAGUUUUUUUUUUUUAAAAAGGUGGCAGAUUACGAAAUGUGAAUCACAUUUCAGAGUAAAACUUCUCGUUUAAAGGGAAGUCUCAGAAGAACGUCUCAGCUGUACCAUUUGUAAUUAGUGUAAAUAAAUUUGCUUUUGUUGGUACUUUUAUUUAAAUUUAAAUUUAAAUAUACUUUCAGUGUAGUUAGAAAAUAAUUUCUGUAAAUCUCGUUGGAUUAUGCAGUGAGAGUGUACAUGAUGUAAUGAAUGUAUCUGAACAAGUAAUGACAGCUAGUAGGUUUCUCAGGCAGAUGCCUACACUCCUAUUCUUAGAAGAAAUAAAAUACUUUUAUCAAUUGUUGAAAAUUUACCGUACUCUUAAUCUGCUUUCAAGAAUAAAUUGUAUGAAAAGUUUUAGAACAGAAGGCAGUCAUCUCUUGCCCUCACUUUCCCUUUUCUUUUUUUGUUUUUGGUUGUUUUUUGAGACAAUGUCUUGCUAAAUAGCCCAGACUGGCCUUGAACUUGGGAGUCUGCCUGCCUCAGCCUCCCGAGCACUACCUGCCCUCUUAUUGCAGUUUCUCAGGAGUCACUUUAACCACUUUUCAUUUCUGGUCAGAAGUCCACAGUGGGCCUCGAGGAACUAAAGCAAGGUGUGGGCAAGGCUGCCUUCUUUCCUGGGUGUUCUGGGGGAAGCAGUUCUUUCCCUUUUCCAGAUGUUAGAAGUCGUCCUUAUUGCUGGGCUCCAGACUGCUAGUUGAGUCUCCUACAUGCCUAACACCCUUUGUACUUUUUCUGUGUUUGAAGAAUCCUUGUGAUUAUACUGGGCCCACUGAAAGGAUAAUCCAAAAUAAUUUUUUUAUUUUUAAAGUCAGCUGAUUGUCAACCUAUUCUAUUUGCUACUGUAUUGUUAAAACUGAUACUGGGUAGGUUAGUAUAUUAAGUAUAUUUUUCCAAUUAUGGUACUUGAAGUUACAAAGAUUUUACCAGGACAUACCUUAUAAGCCAAGGAGCAUCUGUAUUUACUAUAGCAAGGGUGGAAGUAACCCUAGUGUCCAUCAAUAAGUGUGUAGUAUAUACAUACGAUGGAAUAUUAUAUGGCCUUCACAAUAAAGGAAAUUCUGAAACACGCUAUACAAAUAGACAAGCCUUGAGAGCAUUAUGCUAAGUGAAAUAAGCUAGUCGGAAAAGGAUAAGCACUGUAUGAUCCCACUUAUAUGAGGUGCCAGUGUAAUCAAAUUCAUAGAGACAAAAUAGAAAGGUGGUUAGUUAUCAGAGGCUGGGGAAGGGGUAGUGGGUAGUUAGGUUUUAGUGGGUAUAGAGUUUCAAUAUGGGAAGAUGCAAAAAAUUUUGGAGAUGGGUGGUGGUGAUGGCUGUACCAAUAGAGCUGUAGUCAAAGUAUCUGGAGAAACUGGAGCCUUCAUAUGUUACUGGUAUAAAAUAGAGCAUAAACUGUUUGACAGUCCUCAAGUUAAACCCUGUCAACCCAGUAAUUGUACUCUUAAGUUUAUCCCAAGAAAUGAAAUCAUGUCUAUACAAAAAUUUGUCCAUCAGUGUUUCUGGAAGCGUCCAGAAUAGUGAAAAAGAAAUAACCCAUGAUGUCUCCACUAAUGAGUGGGUAAAUAAAAUGUGGUAUAUCCAUAUAAUGGAAUAGUAUUCAGCUAUAAAAAGUCAUGAGUAUUGAUACAUGCUACAACAAAGAUAAACCUUGAAAAUAUGAGACUAAAUUAUAAAAGUGAGAUACACAAAACCACAUGUACAAUUCUGUUUAGGUGAAAUGUCUGGAGUAGUCAAAUUUUUAGAGCCAGAAAGUAGAUUAGUAAUCUCCAGGGAACGAGAGAGAGAGGG